GACGAACGCUGGCGGCGUGCUUAACACAUGCAAGUCGAACGAUGAAGCUAGAGCUUGCUCUGGUGAAUUAGUGGCGAACGGGUGAGUAACACGUGAGUAACCUGCCCCGAACUCUGGGAUAACUGCUGGAAACGGUAGCUAAUACUGGAUACGACCUACGAAGGCAUCUUCUGGAGGUGGAAAGAAUUUCGGUUCGGGAUGGACUCGCGGCCUAUCAGCUUGUCGGUGAGGUAAUGGCUCACCAAGGCGACGACGGGUAGCCGGCCUGAGAGGGUGACCGGCCACACUGGGACUGAGACACGGCCCAGACUCCUACGGGAGGCAGCAGUGGGGAAUAUUGCACAAUGGGCGCAAGCCUGAUGCAGCAACGCCGCGUGAGGGAUGACGGCCUUCGGGUUGUAAACCUCUUUUAGUAGGGAAGAAGCGAAAGUGACGGUACCUGCAGAAAAGCACCGGCUAACUACGUGCCAGCAGCCGCCGUAA
rnacentral:rRNA from 1 species